CCAAGAAGGUUGAAAAGUAGGAAACUGAGCCUGCAGAAAGGAAGAGUCUUCCCAAGUUGCAUCUUCUUCAGUGAAGUGUGACCGUUUAAUUAGGCCUUAAGUAUUGGAAGACCAUUCCUGAGGACUGUUCUUGCCUGUAGCAGAUUUUCUGGAACCACUUCUACUAUCUGAUCAUCAUUCAAGGCAGGAAGAUCCAGAAUUGGAGUGAUAUUAGUGCCUAUUUUCUUCUUUAGUGGUGAAACAUGAAAACUCUGUUGCAGCAAUAGAACAAUGGAACCAACUUGGAGAGUCAUUUGGCAAA
rnacentral:misc_RNA from 1 species